rnacentral:sRNA from 1 species
CUCUCCUGGUGUGGGCUGUAAUUAGGUCAGUGUAAGUUAAAGUAGGGCUGAGAGAGGAAUAAAGUGGAUUUUCUCCUCUGGAACACACUGCAGUUUAAUUUCACUUCUUUCUGCAGUGUGCGGCGAAGGUGGACUUAACUUUUAAAGGUAAAGAGACAAGCCACUGCCAGGAUAAAUGAAAAGACGCAGAGGGGGCAACUGGCAGCACACGGGAGAGGAAAUGCUUUCUGGCUGGUUCCUAAUUUUCAUAUCCGGGUUAUCGUCAGAAAUCAUUUUCAGAGACUACAUCUUGAACCAGUGUUGACUCAAGCAGAUGAGCACACCUGGGAGGGAUUUUCAAGAUUGGACCAAGGGUGGAAAGAUCCAACAUUAACCUAGGCCACACUUUCUGGUGACAUCUCACCUAGAAGGACGAGGAAGAAUGAAGCUUUUCAUUUGACUUGCCUAUCCUUACUCUCAGUGGCUACUUAAUUUCUGUUGCGGAGACAUUCCAUUGUUGAUAUUAGAACCUACUUCGUCAGAAUUCCACACGACACUCAUGACCUUUGGAACUCUAGCACCAGAUUGGGACUACCGAGACAUUCAGUCUUAUGGGUUGAACAACUAUCGCGAUUUUUGGCUUGUACAUUGUGAGACAGCCAUUGGUGAACUAGGAGACCACACCCUGUAAGAGUUCCAUGCAAGCGUCAAAUCCUAUGGGCAACAUGAAGAGUUAGUUCUGAUUUACUUACUGCACUCUUACUCAACAUGGACCCAGUGGCAUAAAGGAUAAACCAGCUUUGAGAAACAGUUUUUGCUCUCAGGAAACAUAGUCCUGCCUUUUUUUCUUGUGAAGCAAAGUCUACAGAAGGAGUGCCAUUAGCCAUUCAGAAGGCGGCUUGUAUGGUAGUUUGUGCUCCAGGAAAUGAUUGACCACCUAUAGGAAGAUACAAGUGUGAGCAUUCUGAAGUUUGCACUCCCUAACUUCUUUCCUGCUACACUGGUGCAGGCUGUACCUGUCUGCAUUUGACCCAAGAGCACACACUCAAAUUUAUCUUCCAAUCAUAAUUCUCCACAAUCCAUGAAACUUCUUUGCUGCCCUUCCCUGAAUCCUUAAGCAAACCUUCAGGUUCUACCUUACAAAGGCAUAUCCUGAUGUCCACAGCAAUCUGUAACCAAAAAUGAAAUUCUAAGAACAAAAAAGAGUUUGUUGUUGUUACUUUGUUUGUUGUUUUACCAACCAGAGGACUUAAGCCAUACUGCUCUUGCAAAUCUUGCCCAUAGUUCCCAGAUUGAUUUGAUUUGAUUGGCUCAUUAUUCUGAAAAUCCUUAUUCAGGUUGUGGCUUUUUAAAAAAUUCUGCCUUAAUGCUAUGGGAGUUUCUAACAAGAUUUUUUUUUGUCUCUUUAGCAUUUGGAUCUGUUAGAUCUUUACAGAAUUUAUAUUCCCUCUUUAACCACUUUAUGUAUUUUUAUUCCUUCUAGGACUCCUAUUUCAGGCAAUCGCAUAUCUAUUUUUGAUUUUUUUGACACCACAAGUUUUAAUCCUUCGUCUAUAUACUUUAACUGUCUUGGUAAUUUCUUGAAGAGUUUUUAAGCUCUGUAUUCCUGUUCAAUAAAAUACCACUUGGCAUUGAAUUAUUCUGCUGUAAAAAUCUUCCUACUGAAGUUUGUACAUUCAGUAUAAUUCUAU